UGGAAACUNUCCGACUUGAGUGCAGAAGGGGAGAGUGGAAUUNCAUGUGUAGCGGUGAAAUGCGUAGAUAUAUGGAGGAACACCAGUGGCGAAAGCGGCUCUCUGGUCUGUCACUGACGCUGAGGCUCGAAAGCGUGGGUAGCGAACAGGAUUAGAUACCCUGGUAGUNCACGCCGUAAACGAUGAGUGCUAGGUGUUAGGCCCUUUCCGGGGCUUAGUGCCGGAGCUAACGCAAUAAGCACUCCGCCUGGGGAGUACGACCGCAAGGCUGAAACUCAAAGGAAUUGACGGGGGCCCGCACAAGCGGUGGAGCAUGUGGUUUAAUUCGAAGCAACGCGAAGAACCUUACCAGGUCUUGACAUCCCGAUGCUAUUCUUAGAGAUAGGAAGUUACUUCGGUACAUCGGAGACAGGUGGUGCAUGGUUGUCGUCAGCUCGUGUCGUGAGAUGUUGGGUUAAGUCCCGCAACGAGCGCAACCCUUAUUGUUAGUUGCCAUCAUUAAGUUGGGCACUCUAGCGAGACUGCCGGUAAUAAACCGGAGGAAGGUGGGGAUGACGUCAAAUCAUCAUGCCCCUUAUGACCUGGGCUACACACGUGCUACAAUGGUCGGUACAAUGAGUUGCGAGCCGGUGACGGCAAGCUAAUCUCUGAAAGCCGAUCUCAGUUCGGAUUGGAGGCUGCAACUCGCCUCCAUGAAGUCGGAAUCGCUAGUAAUCGCGGAUCAGCACGCCGCGGUGAAUACGUUCCCGGGCCUUGUACACACCGCCCGUCACACCACGAGAGUUUGUAACACCCGAAGUCGGUGAGGUAACCUUUUAGGGGCCAGCCGCCUAAGGUNGGA
rnacentral:rRNA from 1 species